rnacentral:rRNA from 1 species
GAUGAACGCUGGCGGCGUGCCUAAUACAUGCAAGUCGAGCGAACGGACGAGAAGCUUGCUUCUCUGAUGUUAGCGGCGGACGGGUGAGUAACACGUGGAUAACCUACCUAUAAGACUGGGAUAACUUCGGGAAACCGGAGCUAAUACCGGAUAAUAUUUUGAACCGCAUGGUUCAAAAGUGAAAGACGGUCUUGCUGUCACUUAUAGAUGGAUCCGCGCUGCAUUAGCUAGUUGGUAAGGUAACGGCUUACCAAGGCAACGAUGCAUAGCCGACCUGAGAGGGUGAUCGGCCACACUGGAACUGAGACACGGUCCAGACUCCUACGGGAGGCAGCAGUAGGGAAUCUUCCGCAAUGGGCGAAAGCCUGACGGAGCAACGCCGCGUGAGUGAUGAAGGUCUUCGGAUCGUAAAACUCUGUUAUUAGGGAAGAACAUAUGUGUAAGUAACUGUGCACAUCUUGACGGUACCUAAUCAGAAAGCCACGGCUAACUACGUGCCAGCAGCCGCGGUAAUACGUAGGUGGCAAGCGUUAUCCGGAAUUAUUGGGCGUAAAGCGCGCGUAGGCGGUUUUUUAAGUCUGAUGUGAAAGCCCACGGCUCAACCGUGGAGGGUCAUUGGAAACUGGAAAACUUGAGUGCAGAAGAGGAAAGUGGAAUUCCAUGUGUAGCGGUGAAAUGCGCAGAGAUAUGGAGGAACACCAGUGGCGAAGGCGACUUUCUGGUCUGUAACUGACGCUGAUGUGCGAAAGCGUGGGGAUCAAACAGGAUUAGAUACCCUGGUAGUCCACGCCGUAAACGAUGAGUGCUAAGUGUUAGGGGGUUUCCGCCCCUUAGUGCUGCAGCUAACGCAUUAAGCACUCCGCCUGGGGAGUACGACCGCAAGGUUGAAACUCAAAGGAAUUGACGGGGACCCGCACAAGCGGUGGAGCAUGUGGUUUAAUUCGAAGCAACGCGAAGAACCUUACCAAAUCUUGACAUCCUCUGACCCCUCUAGAGAUAGAGUUUUCCCCUUCGGAGGACAGAGUGACAGGUGGUGCAUGGUUGUCGUCAGCUCGUGUCGUGAGAUGUUGGGUUAAGUCCCGCAACGAGCGCAACCCUUAAGCUUAGUUGCCAUCAUUAAGUUGGGCACUCUAAGUUGACUGCCGGUGACAAACCGGAGGAAGGUGGGGAUGACGUCAAACCAUCAUGCCCCUUAUGAUUUGGGCUACACACGUGCUACAAUGGACAAUACAAAGGGUAGCGAAACCGCGAGGUCAAGCAAAUCCCAUAAAGUUGUUCUCAGUUCGGAUUGUAGUCUGCAACUCGACUACAUGAAGCUGGAAUCGCUAGUAAUCGUAGAUCAGCAUGCUACGGUGAAUACGUUCCCGGGUCU